UCCAGGCCUGCUGGGGAAGAAAAAAGGAGAGAGAAUAGUUUUUGGUCUUUGGCAGCUCAGGAGGUUAACAGUUUAAGUGUGUUCCUGAUCAGGUACCCGUAGGAAAGGUGGGAGUCAUCAGUCACCACGUGCUGGCACUUCCUGAACAGCAGCAGGAAGCCUUUCUCAGGGGAAAGACAUAGGAUUCUGAGGCUCCUCUGACCAUCAGAGCUACUAAUACAGCAGGAUUGUUUUCCCAGUCCCCCAGUAAACGGAAAACUCCCAUGUCCAAAAGUUUGGUGAUUAAUGAGUGAAACCACCUGCAAACAUAGUUCCAGCCCUCGUCCUUGCCCUUGCCCUUGGGGAGCAGGUUGCUUCUGUCACUGCUACAAUGAUCUACUCAUUGCUUCUCUUGAGCACCAUUUCACUGAGGGUUUUGGUUACUGAUACUCUGUGUAAAGGGCGGCUCCUUUUCCUGCACCUUCUUUAGACCCAAGGAUCUGCUGGCCCUCCCUUACCCCUUAUCACUCCCCCCCAUCCCCCUACCCCCGCCAGAUGGCCAUCAUCUGAGUGUCUUUGCAUGUGGUGUUGGAUGUGCUUGUGACUUGUUGCUUCGUUUGGGCCCACAAGUGUUUGAAUGACUGGUUCUGUAGUCACAGGAAGUGGGGCCCCAUAGGCCUGCUUGGUCUAGCAAUAGCAUUCUAAUUGAGUUGAGCUUAUGGCGGAGUGGAAAGGAGAUCCCAGCACUUGGGGACUUCUAAUAAGUGGUAUGUUCUUGUUAGAGCGGGCUCUGCAGCUUGAUUCCCCUGUGCUGGAAUCUUGGUCAGCCCCUACUGUGACCCUGGGCUUACCUAAUUGUUCCAGGCCUGUUAGCUCACCUGUAAAAAAAGGAGUAAUGAUAGUCCCUAUCUUGUAGGUAUAGUUGUGAGCAUCAGAGAAGUUAACGAUUGUAAAACACUUUAAAACAACACCUGACAGGACAUAACAAUCCUCAUGAUCACUGUUCUUAGUUGAGCGACUUGGUGGGUUUUCUCUGAACACCAUACAACUCCAGGUCAGUAUGCGUUGGAAAUUCUCUGUAAUUGAUUGAAAGAAUCUUGGUUUCUUUUAACGUUUAUUUAUUUUUGAGACAGAGAGAGACAGAGCAUGAACAGGGGAGGGGCAGAGAGAGAGGGAGACACAGAAUCGGAAACAGGCUCCAGGCUCUGAGCUGUCAGCACAGAGCCCGACGCGGGGCUGGAACUCACAGACCGUGAGAUCAUGACCUGAGCCGAAGUCGGACGCUUAACCGACUGGGCCACCCAGGCGCCCCAAGAAUCUUGGUUUCUUUUAGUCAUUAGGGUCCCUCAGGUGCUUUUUCCAGCAUUAAAAAAAAAAUUUGUGGUUGUUUAUUUUACUUUAUUUGUUGAAGCUAGCCAGCUAUCUGAAUAGAAUGCUUUUGGAAAGGUUUAUGUGCUCUUGAGAUCAUUUUAAAAAAUGGGGAUGCGUUUAUUUACAAGAUAUCAAUAUCAGGUGAUUUUAUUGAUUAACAAAACGAAACAACCCAAAACACUACCUUCUGCCUGCCCAUACUUCUGUGUCGUGAAUGGUAAUGGUGGUGGUGGUGUUGUGUGUGCGGCCUCAUCAAGGGAGGAUCCAGAUCCAAAGUCACCAGACCAUGGGUUUUUUUCUGAGUGCUGGGAUCCAGCCGAUUGCAUGGGAUUUUUUUCCAUGUUCCUUUCUUCAGGUGCAGUAUUUACCCUUUGGCAACAGGAGAAAGCUCCCUGUUUCUCUUAAAGACCACAUGGGAACUUAGCAGCUAAUGAUUUUAGGUUCCUUUUUCACUAGCAAAGAGGCCUUCAGGGGCAAGCCCUUGUUAUCUCUGUUGGCUUCUCUGCAGUGAGAAGAAAGCCUCCCCUUUGUGAGGCCUGGAAGGGUCACAGCCAUUUCUCGGCUGCCCCUGUGAGUUUGUGGACUUUGAAUCUUGGGCUGAGAUUUUGGUCUCGGUUGGUUCCUUGUUUAUCUUUGUCUCUCUUGCGGCUCCUAGAGCCUGAGCGCCUGGUCAGAACAGCAAGUAACUUGCUUAGUUUUUUCACACUGCAACUGCAGCCCAGGAGAAAGGUAACAGUGUCGCCUCAGCUCAUCAGGGAAUGUUUCUUUGACUGUGUUUUCCUCUCUCUUUUGACCUCUCUGCUGACUUAUCUCACUUCCUUUUUUUUUUUUUUUUUUUUUUCCCUGUUUGGUUUCUUUGAACUCUGUUCCUUCAUUACCGCUGCCCAUCUCGGGUUUUCAUCUGUCCCCCUCUGCCUUACCUGUUUCUAUGCCUCUUUUGUGGCAUGGCUCGGGAGAGGAAUUCUGAUAGUCUGAGAUCUCCUUCAUGUAUAGAAUCCCAGUACCACCCAGUCCUUUCUCCUGUUCCUCUGAUUUCUGUAAAGUUAGGGAUUUGCAGCUUUAGCACACAUUUUCUUUUUAUGUCUCUGGAGCCACCUUCCUCAGUAAAGCCAGGCCUGGCGAUCUGACAGCUUCUUAGGGUCGGCAUCCUAGUUUCCCUGGUGAUAGGGUCUAAGCCAGUUCUGGGCCGUUUCCUCUGGCCUAUCCGGAAUGCUGUAACGCUGGAUCCUGUCUUGGGAGGGAUCUGAGGUGGCACUUGUGAAUUUUGGCAGUGCGAUAUUGAAUGUGGUCCCCAAAGUGUGGUUUGAGGACCCUGGGGCUCCCUAAGGUCCAUUCAGUGGUACACGAAAUCAAAGUGAGUUUCAUCAGAACAUGAACGCAGUAUCUGCUUUUUACCAUUGUGGCUCUGUCCGUAUACAGUGGAGUUUUCCAGAGGCUGAAUGAUGUGUGCUGACAUCAUCACUCUUGGCUAAUGAAAUGUGUGCUUUUGUAUUCUUGUGUUUUCUAGAAUUUUUAAGGUAGUCCUUUAAGGUAUAAAUAGAGAUGUUUUCAGUGAUGCGCUCAGUUUGUUUUCAGUACUUCUCCGGGACUCUUACUAUCUUUCUUCACUUGUGCCUGCUCUAAGCCCUGUAAACCUCGUUAUUGUCCUGGAAAUCCUUAUUUUGAUAUCCCACCAUUUUCCUGGCAUCUUUGAGGAAACACAAUAAGAAGAUGGAUUGUUGACUUUAAAAAGGGAGAUUAGAAGACUUGCAACCUCUGUUUACUGAAAUGGACAUAUCAACAAGUGAAUGGGAGGAGUCUGAAGAGUCUAGGCAAAACCGUAAAUAAGAAAUUAGAAGAGAUGACACUGUAACGAGAGCUAUCUUCUCCUCAGCUUUAUAGAUGUUAAUAACGUACUUUAUUACGUCUUACGCAACUGAACGCGGUUCAGGUAGUGCUGUAGUGCCAGUUCAGGUGCAACAUCACGUCAAGACCGAUCAUUCAAAGUUGAAAGAAAAAGGAAUCGAGAACUUCUGGUGUAUACACCAUGAGCUCUUGAAAAGCCAAACUUUGCUCCAGCUUUUCAACCUAGAAGUGAAAAAAAAGUCACUGAAUCUUACGGGACACGUUCGGACGUUCUUUGGCUGGAAAAGCCCACCCGGUAGCCGAGAGACUGAGAAGGUCUCGAACGGCAGACGUUGCCGAACGCCCGCUGGGCGGAGAGUCCGUGAAACGCAGGGCAGCGCCGCUUUGUGUGUACCAUGACUCGUCGAAUCAGAGGCUUAGGUACGAAUGUGAAGACUGAGUUCACAUCUUGUUUACGGAAUUGUACUUUUGCCUUACAAACGAGAUUUACAGACGUGGCUCAACUUGUGUCAGCACCAACUACGCUUCAGAGAAUUUUCCUUUACGUGAACGCUCAGCAGUGAACGCGAGUAGCGAUCAAUACGCAACGGGUUGAAUAACUCUCUUGACUUUCAUGGUUCAUCCUGGAAGAACUUCGUUUCCGUUUGCGCUGUUGCACAGAAGUAAUGGCAGAGAAAAUCGCUGGCGGCGUAACGUAAAUCAAGGCAGUGGCACCGAACUCUGCUGGCGAUCGUAGUCGUGAACUUCUCUCCUGCUAGACACUUGUGGUUUAAGGAGGGGAGGGGCAUUUUCACUUGAGUGGGUCCUAAAAAUUAUUAAUUUUUAUUAAGUCUCAACCCUCUAAUAAAAGUCUCUUUAAUAUUUUGAGUGAUGAAAUGCCAAGUAUCUAUGGGGCACUGGUGCCGUAUCCCAUCGUGCAGUGACGCUCUCGAGAAAACGUACUAGUGUGUUGGAGCUGAACCAGUUGCAUGGAUCAUCAUUUUAACUUGAAAGACCAACUACAGUUGUUCACGCUUGAGUAUUUAGUGGACAUUUUCUUGAAAGUGAGCGAAGUGAGUCUGUCACCGUUGCCAGUCAUAAAAGUCAAGCUUGCAAGCAAAAAUGAGAAUUUUCAAAAACUUGGAUUUGUCAAAGACGUUUUUGAUGAGAUCAGUGGUAAAAUUAGUGGAAUGUGAUCUUUUGAUAUUGUAUGAAAUGUCAAUAUUUGGAAAUUCUGUAUAAUUCAACGAAGGCAUAUUUCCCAGAUUGCCAGUAGGUAAAAGAGCCAUUCAAAGUGCAAGAUGACCAGUGUAUUUUAACAUAAAAAGUACACAGCAGAUUCAUUGAUAGGAGCGCCUAGGGGGCUCAGUCGGUUGGGUGUCUGACUCUUGAUUUCGGCUCAGGUCAUGAUCUCACGGUUCGUGAGAUUGAGCCCCAUGUUGGGCUCUGCGCUGAGAGCGUGGAGCCUGCUUGGGAUUUUCUCUCUCUCUCUCUCUCUCUCUCUCUCUCUCUGCUCCUCCCCCCGGCCCCAGAAUAAAUAAGUAAACUUAAAAAGAAAAGAUUCAUUGAUAAAAUUGCAGAUUGCAACUAGCUUUUAAAAACUACUACUUUUGAGUUUGGGUCUGGUGUCAAAGAAGAAAAUUCUGAAAAGCUAUUAAACUCCCAUUUUCCAGCCACAGGUCUAUAUGAAGUGAGAUUUUUCUUCAUAUCUU